GCUGAGCACCGUGGGUCGGCGAGGGCCCGCCAAGGAAGGAGCGACCGACCGAGCCAGGCGCCCUCCGCAGACCUCCGCGCAGCGGCCGCGGGCGCGAGGGGAGGGGUCUGGAGCUCCCUCCGGCUGCCUGUCCCGCACCGGAGCCCGUGGGGUGGGGAGGUGUGCAGCCUGUGACAGACAGGGGCUUAGAGAUGCAAACAGACUCAGGGAGAGAAACAGAAGCUGAUUCUGUGACAGAAGCAGAUCUGUGCAGCACAGAUGCGGUGUGCGUGGGGAGGGGGUCGCCUGGGAGCGCAUUGCGGAGUGCUUGUGUGUGCAGAUUUUUCUCUGGGCUCAGGACUCAUUGUAUGUGGGUCAACACCUUCCUCCGUGACUGUGUUUUUGUUCUGAGCUGAGUUUUUUGGUUUGCCCUUAAAAAAAUAAUAAUUUGGCAUCCAGAGACUGGCAGACUGCCUCAGGGCCUGGACUGCGGAUAUAUUGUGUUCUGCUUGAGGUUUGGGGAGGAGGGCAGGCGGUAGGAAGGGAGAGGGGGAGCUGUUUGUCACACUUUGCUGUAGAGCUGAGAGCACCUGACAAGCUUAAGGAAGUCGUUGGGCUAUGUGGACAAGAAGGAGCCAGCUCCCAGCGGGUUCACAAGCUCUAUCGGAGUUGAAAGCGUGGUCAUGGCUCUAAGGAGCACCUCACGCCCUCCCUGUAGCUGUUAUUGCAGUUUCAGGCAGAGAUCCAGGAGCUGCAGAGGAAGGGAGAGGCACAAUAACCUACAUGGACCCAAGGGAGACAUGUGUUCCUUUAAAAAUGUGAACAGAAGGAAAAACAGAAUGUGUGCAACUGGGGGUCUGAGGAAAGACUGUUUUGAAAGAGGCUGUCAGGGAAUGGAAAGGGUUAAGCUUUUCAUCCUGAAGAACCUGCUUCCCAAAUCAGGCCUUCCUCCCAUCACUAGACCCUGAGCAGCAGCUGGUCCUAGAGACCCCCCUCGUACUGCGCUGCCACAGUCUCAUCCCAUUUCCAGCUCUGUAUUAACCACCAAGCUGCAGCGGAUGGGGCAAGACCUAAGCUCAUUAAUUUCCAGGUGGAGGAAAUGGAGGAGGGGCAGGUCCCUGCAGUAGAGGGAGGAGCAGAGAAAGGAGGCCAAGAGCUGGAUCCUUCUGCCCAGGAAGCCUGCUGCAUCCCUUCCCCCGAGCAUGGCAGAGGCCUGGCUUUGCAAGGCCAAGGCCAUAAGGGAUGCUUAGGAGAUUAAUUUGAUUCCUGACACAAUAAUCAAGCCCUAAGAGUCUCCACUGAAGCUUACUGAGGACUUCUUUCCUCUCCAAAGCCUCAGUCUAGCCUGCUAAAUAAAUUAGUAUUCAGUGAUGCCUUGGAUCAGGGCCCCUCCCCGGCCUCAGUUUCCCCAAAUAUUUAUUAAGUACCUACUGUGUGCAAUCCUUGUGUAAUUAUUAACUCUUAGGCUCUUCAUUUGCCCUCCUAAAGCAGUGUUUAGAGUCAGGCAGAGGUUAAGUGUGUUGCACCUCACCUAGAUACUUCCAGAACCUUCUCUGGGUCUGCAGAAUGUGGCACAACCUGCUUGCCCCCGCAGAGAGAAAGCUGCAGUGCACAUCCUGCAGACUGCAGGUGCUGGGCUGCCUCUGGAGUCCCAGAAGGCAAGCUUGGCUGCAGGACAGAAAGGGAGAACAGCUUCUCUCACCCCUGAGCCUUCACAAGCCCUUGUCUAUUUGCCGUUGCCUUCAAAAUAUACCUCCCCCGAAACCAGUAGCUUUCUGAGUCCUGGUGUCCCCUCCGCCCUUUCUGGACAGGUUUGGGAAGAAGAAAGCAGUCAGUGCUGGGCCUUAUUGGGGUGUGAAGCGCCUUGCUCUGCCCCUUCUGCUCACUGUGAAGGCCGCUGGAUGCUUCUCUUAGGCAUGGUUUAAGCCUCCGAUUACUAAACCCCUUGCCCCACAAACGUCCACAUUGACGAGCCUCUUUUUAGUAACUGCUUCCCCGUAAUUCCUUCAGAGGUUGCUGUACCCUUCGCUGAUGUGCUGCCCUCCUGUAAAACCUCCAGAUGCCUUCCCACGUAAUGCCCCUUUCAGAUGCUUUAAGCUGAGAGCUUAAACCACAGGUACCAUGGCUGACGCCUGCCAGGUUUCUGCUGCAGAUAAUCUAUGAUGGGAGGGGCAUAUUUUUUACUUCAUUACUUAUGUAAACUCUUGUUCCAGAAAGCUUUAAUGUGUGUGGGAGUGUUCUGGGUCUAUUAGGUCUGUGCGCAUGGGUGUGGGCAUUUGCCUGUGUCCACCGGGUGGGUCUCAUUAUGAAAUGUAUGUUUAUGUAGGGCUUUAAUGGCUGAAAAUGGCAAAGAGAUGAAUAGACCACUUGGCCCCAUGUGUAAUUGCCAGGCCCCUUCUGUGCUCAAAUGAGGUGUCCGAGUGAAGGUCAGCCCUUCCCUUCUGUAUUUGGGGCCUAUUUAUGCCACCAGUAAUUUUAUAAGAAAUCUGAAUAGUUCUCCCCUUUGAGUGCAUUUAACUCUUUAGUAUCUUCUCUCUUACCUAUUUGAGCCCCUCUAGCUACAGUCUGGCUUAAAUGAAAGGGGAAUUAUAUGCUUAAGAAAAAGUAGGACACGGUUGAGGCAGUUUGCUGACUGAAUACGCGAAGAAGGACCUGAUGGGCUCAUAUGCACCACUGCCAUCACAGUCCCCAUCGUGAUGCAAGCUUAUAUGAUUCUUGAGAAACAGCCCAGAUCUCCUCUUAAGCGGAAAAGAGAUUGACCUUCUAGCAGAGGCAAAGGUAAACUCCUGUAAGUUACUUCUGUUACCAAAGGGAGGGGGGCGGCUUUUGUGAAUGUAUGAGGAGCUUUUGCCAGAGAGAUAUUCGGAGGAGGGGUGUGCCCAUAUGCACACAUAUAUUUUCCCGCAUAACCGUAUCCAAUGCUAGCAUUUAGAGGAAGGCAUUUAGCCACCAAAAGUCCAUCCAUCUAUGCUGCUUCCACAGAGAAAACAUUUUCUCUUUCCUCCUCUUGAACUUACAUAAUAUCCUCCUCCCAUUCCAACCUUAGAAUGGAGUCUUCUGGGGGCAGCUGCAAAGCGUUCUCCCUAGGACAGAUGGAGCCUCCCUUUCCUCAUCUACUCUGUGGGUGGUUUCAGGGCCCACGAGUCAACAUGAGGAGUUGUGCUGGUGGUAUGUGUGUUGGAGGCUGGGCUGGCUGAUUCACAGUGACGAGGAUGUCAAUAAUAACAAGAAUGAGAAUGAUGGUACCUAAUAAAGACUUUUUUUCCCAAGUCCCAUCUACAAUUCUUUCAUUGGGUGUUUUGCCAAGUCUUUCUCAAUCUCAUCUCAGCUUUUUUUUUUUUUUUAAA
rnacentral:lncRNA from 1 species